GGGAGUACGCCGGCAACGGUGAAACUCAAAGGAAUUGACGGGGGCCCGCACAAGCGGAGGAACAUGUGGUUUAAUUCGAUGAUACGCGAGGAACCUUACCCGGGCUCAAACGGGGAGUGACUCAGGCAGAGACGCCUGUUUCCCACGGGACACUCCCCGAGGUGCUGCAUGGUUGUCGUCAGCUCGUGCCGUGAGGUGUCGGCUUAAGUGCCAUAACGAGCGCAACCCCCGCGUGCAGUUGCUAACAGAUAACGCUGAGGACUCUGCACGGACUGCCGGCGCAAGCCGCGAGGAAGGCGGGGAUGACGUCAAAUCAGCACGGCCCUUACGUCCGGGGCGACACACGUGUUACAAUGGGUGGUACAGCGGGAAGCCAGGCGGCGACGCCGAGCGGAACCCGAAAUCCACUCUCAGUUCGGAUCGGAGUCUGCAACCCGACUCCGUGAAGCUGGAUUCGCUAGUAAUCGCGCAUCAGCCAUGGCGCGGUGAAUACGUUCCCGGGCCUUGUACACACCGCCCGUCAAGCCAUGGGAGCCGAGGGCGCUUGAAGUGCGUCGCCGCGAGGCGCGCCCUAGAGCGAAAUCGGUGACUGGGGCUAAGUCGUAACAAGGUAGCCGU
rnacentral:rRNA from 1 species